rnacentral:rRNA from 1 species
ACGAACGCUGGCGGCGUGCCUAAUACAUGCCAGUUGAGCGCUGAAGGUUGGUACUUGUACCGACUGGAUGAGCAGCGAACGGGUGAGUAACGCGUGGGGAAUCUGCCUUUGAGCGGGGGACAACAUUUGGAAACGAAUGCUAAUACCGCAUAAAAACUUUAAACACAAGUUUUAAGUUUGAAAGAUGCAAUUGCAUCACUCAAAGAUGAUCCCGCGUUGUAUUAGCUAGUUGGUGAGGUAAAGGCUCACCAAGGCGAUGAUACAUAGCCGACCUGAGAGGGUGAUCGGCCACAUUGGGACUGGGACACGGCCCAAACUCCUACGGGAGGCAGCAGUAGGGAAUCUUCGGCAAUGGACGAAAGUCUGACCGAGCAACGCCGCGUGAGUGAAGAAGGUUUUCGGAUCGUAAAACUCUGUUGGUAGAGAAGAACGUUGGUGAGAGUGGAAAGCUCAUCAAGUGACGGUAACUAACCAGAAAGGGACGGCUAACUACGUG